rnacentral:rRNA from 1 species
UACGUAGGUGGCAAGCGUUGUCCGGAUUUAUUGGGUUUAAAGGGUGCGUAGGCGGCCCUGUAAGUCAGUGGUGAAAUCCUCCAGCUUAACUGGAGGGGUGCCAUUGAUACUGCAGGGCUUGAGUGGAGUCGAAGUAGGCGGAAUUGACGGUGUAGCGGUGAAAUGCUUAGAUAUCGUCAAGAACACCGAUAGUGAAGACAGUUUACUAGGCUUCUACUGACGCUGAGGCACGAAAGUGUGGGGAUCAAACAGG